rnacentral:rRNA from 1 species
AACGAACGCUGGCGGCAUGCCUAACACAUGCAAGUCGAACGAGACCUUCGGGUCUAGUGGCGCACGGGUGCGUAACGCGUGGGAACCUGCCCUUAGGUUCGGAAUAACUCCCCGAAAGGGGUGCUAAUACCGGAUAAUGUCUUCGGACCAAAGAUUUAUCGCCUUUGGAUGGGCCCGCGUUGGAUUAGCUAGUUGGUAGGGUAAAAGCCUACCAAGGCGACGAUCCAUGGCUGGCCUGAGAGGAUGAUCAGCCACACUGGGACUGAGACACGGCCCAGACUCCUACGGGAGGCAGCAGUGGGGAAUAUUGGACAAUGGGCGAAAGCCUGAUCCAGCAAUGCCGCGUGAGUGAUGAAGGCCUUAGGGUUGUAAAGCUCUUUUACCCGGGAUGAUAAUGACAGUACCGGGAGAAUAAGCUCCGGCUAACUCCGUG